AGUCGGACAGAUGAUCGCUGGCGAUUCAUUCGCGAGAGGAAAGUCCGGGCUUCACAGGGCAGGGAUGCCGGAUAACGUCCGGCGGAGGCGACUCCCGGGAAAGCGCAACAGAGACUUAACCGCCGGCAUAUGCCGGUAAGGGUGAAAAGGCGGUGUAAGAGACCACCGGGUAUCUGGUAACAGGUGCCGCACUGCAAGCCCCAUCCGAAGCAAGGCCUAGACGGAACGUACGCUGCCCGCCAGUUCCAGGUUGGCCGCUUGAGGCAUAUGGCAACAUAUGUCCUAGACAGAUGAUCAUCCGAGACAUAACCCGGCUUACAGUCCGGCUUU
rnacentral:RNase_P_RNA from 1 species